rnacentral:rRNA from 1 species
AUUGAACGCUGGCGGCAUGCUUUACACAUGCAAGUCGAACGGUAACAGGGAGCUUGCUCCGCUGACGAGUGGCGAACGGGUGAGUAAUGCGUCGGAACGUGCCGAGUAGUGGGGGAUAACGCAUCGAAAGGUGUGCUAAUACCGCAUACGAACUGAGGUUGAGAGUGGGGGACCUUCGGGCCUCACGCUAUUCGAGCGGCCGACGUCUGAUUAGCUAGUUGGUGAGGUAAAGGCUCACCAAGGCGACGAUCAGUAGCGGGUCUGAGAGGAUGAUCCGCCACACGGGGACUGAGACACGGCCCAGACUCCUACGGGAGGCAGCAGUGGGGAAUUUUGGACAAUGGGCGCAAGCCUGAUCCAGCCAUGCCGCGUGUCUGAAGAAGGCCUUCGGGUUGUAAAGGACUUUUGUCCGGGAGCAAAUGCUGGUGGCUAACAUCCACCGGAGCUGAGAGUACCGGAAGAAUAAGCACCGGCUAACUACGUGCCAGCAGCCGCGGUAACAC